AAGCCUCGGCAGAAGUCUAUUCCGCUACUCAAGAUUUGCAAUCUUGCAUGUAAAACACUUCAAAGCU
rnacentral:tRNA from 1 species